UGGGUAACCUGCCUCAAAGAGGGGAAUAGCCUCCCGAAAGGGAGAUUAAUACCGCAUAAUAUGUUUAGGACGCAUGACUUUAACAUCAAAGGAUUUUCUUUUAGAAAUUCCACUUUGAGAUGGACCCGCGGCGCAUUAGCUAGUUGGUGAGGUAACGGCUCACCAAGGCAACGAUGCGUAGCCGACCUGAGAGGGUGAUCGGCCACAUUGGAACCGAGACACGGUCCAGACUCCUACGGGAGCAG
rnacentral:rRNA from 1 species